GAUGAACGCUGGCGGCGUGCCUAAUACAUGCAAGUCGAGCGAACGGACGAGAAGCUUGCUUCUCUGAUGUUAGCGGCGGACGGGUGAGUAACACGUGGAUAACCUACCUAUAAGACUGGGAUAACUUCGGGAAACCGGAGCUAAUACCGGAUGAUAUUUUGAACAGCAUGGUUCAAAAGUGAAAGACGGUCUUGCUGUCACUUAUAGAUGGAUCCGCGCUGCAUUAGCUAGUUGGUAAGGUAACGGCUUACCAAGGCAACGAUGCAUAGCCGACCUGAGAGGGUGAUCGGCCACACUGGAACUGAGACACGGUCCAGACUCCUACGGGAGGCAGCAGUAGGGAAUCUUCCGCAAUGGGCGAAAGCCUGACGGAGCAACGCCGCGUGAGUGAUGAAGGUCUUCGGAUCGUAAAACUCUGUUAUUAGGGAAGAACAUAUGUGUAAGUAACUGUGCACAUCUUGACGGUACCUAAUCAGAAAGCCACGGCUAACUACGUG
rnacentral:rRNA from 1 species